rnacentral:lncRNA from 1 species
GUUCAUGGGAUUGAGAUCUUCUACAAUAUGGCAUUGUUGGAUGCUGGAAUGGUUGGAUUUCCGGCGAGCUUGACGAAUAAGAAAUGGUGAAAGGGCUUAAUUGCACCACCAAUGAAAAAAAAAUUAAAAUUACAAUAGUUAAUGGAGUUAGCCGACCGUUAGUGGGAAAGGCUUAAUUGCACCGAAAUUGGGACAACGAGGGC